UUUUAAUAGCGAGCAUUCGGCUUCUAUGCUAAUACAAUCUAUUUGAUUAAUGCUUUUUGAUCCGCCUGCAAGAUUGAUAUGCUUGUUAAUUUGUUUUCUUUGCUGUUUCUUUAUCGGUUUAGCUAACUUUUUUUUUUUUUGCUAGAGUUAAUUAUUGCCCCAAAAUCUUUCAUUGCCAUUGCCAUUUGUCGAAGGUUUCUUGGUUAAUUUCUUGCUACGUCUAACAAAUAUUAGUUUUAGGGAAUCUGGAAUUUGCAUUUCUCUGUCAAUCGUAUCUGUUCUCUUUUGUACACAGGUUGGAAUUUUCUGGAUGUUUUAUAUCUAUGCUAAUCUGGCAAGUGGCUUCAACCUUUGGAGUGAUACAUGAAACUAUUAUAGAUCUAGUCUUAUAAAAAGUUUGAAAUGGAAAUAGUAUAGAAUAUAAAAACUGUUAUAGUCUUAUGGACGGUUCGAGAGGAAAUUAGAAAAGGAAGUUAGACUAAUGUUCUGAGAUUCCUAACAUGUAAGGAAUCGGGAGCAUAUCCAUAGAAUAAAAUAGCUUGGGACAGAGGUGAUAGAUAAAACAAAGUACAGGAGCAUCAAUUAUUUUCUCGUUGUAAAUCAGGGACAAGAUUCUGAUAGACUGAAACAAAUAGUAAGCUGCUAUUACAAGGAAUUAAGAAAUGGCUAACUUCAUCUUUCUUAGUGGACUUGCUGUCCUCUAUUUUUUUACCCCAUUUCCUGGCCUGAUAUUGUCUUCUCGUUUAGUAGUUUGCCUUUUUUGUCUGGUAAUUAUUUUUGUCUCAAUAGAAGAGAAAAGGUACUUCUUAAUGCAUCCUUUGAAGUUGUGGAAUGCUGAAACAAGGGAAAUCUAGAUGCAUAAGAAUCAAUUGAUCUAUAAUUUACUAGUAAGUGUGAUUUAGUUUUUGUAGCUUCAAUUACAGCAACAAUUUGUUACUUAGAAUGAAGAAAUAAAGCAAUAAUUGAGACAACAAUUUAAUUGUCUUUAAUUAGUUCAUUAAAAAAAAUUAAAUAACUAGGUGAAUUCCGUUGCUCUGAUUAGAAAAACAGAGAGAAAAAUAUUCAUCUAACUGAAGUUAAUGGGAGUAUCUUGCUUUAUCGAGAGACUGAAUUAAAAAAAUGACUUAGUUUAGAGAUACCUGAUGGAAUUCUGAGUUGUGUGACACGGAAGGUAGCAAUCAGGUACAGAAGAAAUUCUGUAUUUCUAUCUUCUCUUUUCAUUUUCCAAUUAAUAAUGAAGCUAUAGAAGCCUAUGGAAAAGCUGAUGCUCCUCUAUAUAGAUCUGAGUUCAGUUUCAAACCCACAAACAAUUUUCCCCAAUUCCCAUGAGCACUACCGUCACCAGUACCCCUAACAUUCUUCCUCCUCUGUCUUCAAUCACUAGUUCUUUAAUGCUGAUGCAAUUUUAUGAAAGGAGAUGCAUGCAUACUCUCAUCACGGAUUCAUGAAUAGCUGGGCAAUUUGUGAUUCAGUUGAGGAUUUUUCUGUACCUUUGAUAUCAGUUUGUGGGACACAGGUGAUUUGCUAGUUGAUACAUCCGUGGCUUCUAGCAAAAGAUUUUGCUUGAUAGAUUUCAAGACAUUAAUAUGACACCGUUUUUUUUUUCUAGGUGUAUUCCAACAAUUGUCACAAUGUUUUUCAGUUAAUUUUUACUUGAUUAAAUUUUAUCAUGCCUUCAUGUACGGCGCAGGGUUAACAGGAUAUUGGUCCUAUAAACGGAAAUAGAAAGAGUUGCUUGUAGAAAGAAGUACGCAUCAGUAUUCAUAUUAUUUACGACUUUAAAAACCACGUACGAUGCCGGAGAGGAACCAGUCAUCUUCUUUGCUAACUGAUCAAAGCAUGAAGUCUAAGAAGCAAAAAGUUGAAGAUAGUAGUCUGACAAAUCACAUUAAUGGAGGAUUAUGUGAAAACAAUGUUAAUGAUUUUUGGCAAAUGGUUCCAAGUGGAUUCACGUUUUGCCCUACGGAACACGUGCUGAUCAUGGCCCAUUUGAGGAAGAAAGUGAUGAAUGAGCCAUUGGAACCAACCCAAUUAUUGAAGUUGAAGUCUUUUAGUUCAAUCCUGAACAAUUAUCCAGACAAUGUAGGAGUUGGGGGUCUAGAGAAAAUGUGUGGUACUUCUUCUCACCAAUAUGUCAAAAUGGAUCAAUACAAGAUGGCCAUUGGAAGUGACAGGAAAAUGUCGGUCCAUCCAUUCUGAUGAUGGAAGAACAUUAAUUGGAAAACGUAGAACUUUGAUUUAUUAUAAAGGGAAUCAUCAAAGGAGCAAGAAGACCAAUUGGAUCAUGCAUGAGUAUUAUUUGGAUCUGACAACACAUGCAAGAGUGAGUUCCUUAGAUACGAAGUUGGGUGAUUGGGUUCUAUGUAAGAUUUACAACAACAACAAGAACUUCAUAAAAAGCUAUACUAAGGAGGACGCACAGUGGUUAGAACCAUAUUUAAGAAAAGAAUCAACUCAAAUGACUCAUUCUUCUCAAUAUCAUCCUCAACCUCAAUCACAGCUUGAAAGCCACAGUAUGGAUAUGAUUCAGUUGGAUAAUUCUCAUUCAUUAGAAAUCUCUCAUGCUUCUCCUAGACCUCCAUCUUUUUAUGAAAUUAUAAACAAAAUGACUCAUUCUUCUCAAACUGAUUCUCAAGAUCAAUCACAGCUUCAAAGAAACAAUAUGGAUCCGAUUCAAUUCAACAAUCCUCAUUCAUCAGAAAUCUCUCAAUCUUCUGCUAGUCCUUCAUCUUUCAAUGAAAUCAACAAUGGAACGUCAAGUUCAGAUGAUGUUUGAAUGUACAUAGAUCUUUCACAAUUUGGACAAAGAAAACGGUGAUUAUAUGAUCAUCCCAAGCAUGCUUCCAGAAUUAAUGGAGCCUGAGAUUGAUACUGGAGGAACCAGGCCAUCUCAUAUCUCUAUAACGCGGAGGACGUGAUUAAUUUUCAAUUUGUAGCAUGAAUACUGAAAAAAAAUCUGAUAUGUUUCA